CAGAAUCGUUAUUGGACCGGUUUCUGCAAGUACUCGUGGGAGGGCGGCACUAUCAUUAUAACAACAUUUGUUGGGGCCUCAAGAGAGGACUUUUGAAUCACGUCGGUAAUAUCUUGUGCCACGGCUCGACUGAACUGCACGGAACGCCAGGCAGGGCGUAGGUGGGGCGUAGGAGUCUCCCUCUGCAUUCACUGCCUGCAGCUGACGUGGAAAGUGGACAGAUACGCAACUGUGCACAGAGAAAUAUGGGAGGAUUUCCUAGAGAGGUUCCCACGGCGACGGGUAUGAAGAUGGCCGACUUCUGGGAGUUGCGUAAUGCAGAACGGCAGAAGUUGAGAGACGUUUCUGAGGUUUUCCAACGAGAGGCAAGUGAAUCAACACCCUACGAAAAAAAAAAAGAUGUUACAUCCCUGCCGGGACGAGGCUUUGGACCUACCGUCUCCUUGUAGAGACGCUGGAACAUUUGUCGGUCCUUGUAACAGUUCGACGCCAAGGACGGCGGCCGACGGAAGAAGGCUUCGUUUAGACGACCCGUAAAUUAGCGUCUCCUUAGCUUAAGUGGCACAAUGAUAAACGAUGUCUUGAAGCAAAUCCUUUUAGAAUCCUAGUGAAGCAUGGAUGUCCCGUCGGAACGGAAAGGUGGUGGUUUGACGUGAAGGGGUUCUUGAGAAAACGGAGUGCAAGAACGAACGAGAAUGGGGUUACGAGUCGGAUGAAGAUAAUUGGCAUAUUCCUCCCACCCUCUCCGGCUCGUUUAGAAGCAUUUUCGUGCCAUUCUUUCUUUUUCUAUCUCAGUGAGUAAGCUAUUAAAGGAACUCGAGUCUCGAACGAAGAAGGCAGCUUACUGAUGUAAUGCACAGCUCCACGCUAGAAGAGGGAGGUUAAUGUAAAGAGGCAAUUUCGUAUCAGGUACGUCUUACAACUGUACUACAGGAAGAAGGGAACUUUGUAAAGUAAUUCACUUCAACUGCAAAGUUACUAUCUCGGCUGAAACAUUCAAACUCCCAUUACACUGACAACAAGCAUUAAUUUGGAAGAUUCGAUCAGAAAAGGACAAGGGCUUUAUGGCUGAUACAGUUCUAUGCCAAUGGAAAACUCAAUUAGUUGUGUGGGUUAAGAAAUCACACCGAAAUACGGAAAUUUAAGGACUGCGUCAAAUUAAGUGUAGCAAUUUCAAAUCUGCCCCAGCUUUGGACAGAACCUGGAAGAUUAAGUGUAAUUCGGAAAAUUGCUCUGUAGCGCAAGAUUAUAUUCACGAUGAACAAAUUCAGCCGCAGUACGUCUCCAUUAUAACACCAAGUGGUUAAUAUUGGGCCGUGAAGGUUUUGGUCUGAGAUACCCAUCGCUGAUGACAGUGUCCAAAAGUUCCUCCGAAACGAGUAUUAAAGCAGGUGGAACUUGUCAUGAUAAAAGAGAGGAAAAAUGGUUGUGUAUUCAGAGCCAUUUCGUCUGAGUAAAAGCUGAGGUAAAAUUAGAGAUGUCCGUGGGACUUAACUAAGCAUCACGCCAUGCCGAGGAAUGGCAAAGCGGAGGUAUAGCUCCACGCGUUCUUAACCUCGGCUUCACACCCCGGCCACUUCGCCCCCGAGGAAACGAAGUUGGUACGCAAUGGACAGGAGGUCGGGUAGGGCCCCCGAAAAGGUCUGGACGAUGCAACUGAGAAGAAAAAUACGUUCUUGCCGGGAAUCGAACCUCGACGUGCAUACUCCGCAGCACGACUGUGUUGUUCCGGCAAUAAAAUGUUCUUUGCAGACAAAAAACUAAUCUUUAUUGGGACUAUUAAUAAUUCAACGAGAAACGUCUGCAUUUCCCAUGCUCCACUGCUAGAAGGGAAGGGCUCUGUUCUUUUGAGGCUGCUUAAAUCGACUAAUAGGACGAAUUUAAGACGUGUUCUAGUUCGUAGUCUCAACAGUAAUGGGCUCCACAUUAAAACUGAUGUUGCCGCCACCGCCAUGGACGCGAGCGACGUUAUCCAGUCGCUUACAAACACUGAAUAUUUUAAUAACAAUCGAUUUGUCUGUGGAAUAACAUGCAGUGGGGUAAAGUGCAUGAAUGAUGCAUUUGGUAACUCCACGUACGGUAAUGCAGUGAGAGACGAGGACCUCCAGUCACGUUCCACGUUCCUAGCAAUCUCCGUCACAAUACGGACACACUUUUACAUUAUUUUUCUGUAUUUGUAUAGUAUUUCGUAGGAAGCACGAAUAUUCACGA